rnacentral:RNase_P_RNA from 1 species
GAUUGGCGACGGACGGCCGCUCUCUUCGGAGGGAGGAAAGUCCGGACACCACAGGGCGGGAAGUCCGUUUGAAAAGACGGAGGGCGCGGACGACAUUCCGCGUCUAGGAAAGUGCCACAGAAAACAAACCGCCGGCCGCAAGGCCGGUAAGGGUGAAAUGGCGGGGUAAGAGCCCACCGCGCUGUCGGGUAACCGCAGUGGCAGGGUAAACCCCUUCCGGUGCAAGACCAAAUAGGGAACGAAGGUGCGGCUCGUACCGCGCUGUCCGAAAGGAUGGCUGAAGUUCCGGGUAUCGGUCGCUUAGAUGAAUGGUCGUACAGCCUUGGCAUAUGCCAAGGCGGACAGAAUCCGGCUUAUAGUCGUCAAUCGCUU